AGCAGUCGCCGCGGGAAUACGUAGGGUGCGAGCGUUAAUCGGAAUUACUGGGCGUAAAGCGUGCGCAGGCGGUUAUAUAAGACAGAUGUGAAAUCCCCGGGCUCAACCUGGGACCUGCAUUUGUGACUGUAUAGCUAGAGUACGGUAGAGGGGGAUGGAAUUCCGCGUGUAGCAGUGAAAUGCGUAGAUAUGUGGAGGAAUACCGAUGGCGAAGGCAGCCCCCUGGGAUAACACUGACGCUCAUGCACGAAAGCGUGGGGAGCAAACAGGACUAGAUACCCCGUAGUCCCUGUCUCUAAUACA
rnacentral:rRNA from 1 species